AAUGUGGGAUUUGAAUAUAUAAACAAAAAUACUUGACAGAAGUUUAAUACAAUUUUGUAAAGGAAAGCAGAGGAAAACAUUUUCCCAAAUGAAUCUUUUCAAAAUGUCACCACCAUUCCGAAAGCAAGUCAAGAGGUUUGUGUAAAAGCAGUCCUCCCUGACCAGCUCUGUCCCUGACUCUAAACCCUGACUCUCAACCCUAACGCUGAACCCUCUGAGGGCAGGAAGGCGCGCCUUCAGUGUGAAGGUUUGAACCAGAAGGAAGAAAAGAGGAAGCAGUAGAGAGUAGUGAAGUAGUGAGGUUAGUGACAGACGUGAGGGAAAGGCGUGUGGAAGCACACGGUUACAUGUUGGGUCAAGAAGAUCACUCCCACUGGAGGUCAGACAGUCCUGGUUGUCCUCAGGAUUUGCCUUCCAGAUGUACGGCUUCUCCAUCAGUCCUCCAGAUUCCUGGUCUGGUUACAAACGUAAUUUGUCUCUAAUGUAAGUUAACAAACACAGUAGUAAUUUGUCUCAAAUAUCAGGUAACAAACCCAGUAGUAGUUGGGCUCUAAUGUAAGGUCACAAACACAGGAGUAGUUGGGCUCUAAUGGCGCGGAACAAAGUAGCAGCUCUAGUUUGUCUGGUAAACAAACACAGUAGUAUGCCGUAACUUGUACUGGACAAACUAAUCCUGCGUUACAACAAGUCCACUCUGUUUAUUUUAUGCAAACUUACGAGGAUCCUGGUUGGUGGAGUGAUGUCGUCCUCCAGAGUCUUGGCUCCUCCAUCAGCUCUCCUCAGCCAGAGUCCUGGUCUGGAACAAACAGCCCGAGUCUGGCCCUAAAGUCUGAUGAGCUUGGUGAUGGUUACCCUCUGGUCCGGUGCUGCAGGCCGCUGGUCUCCAGCCUCAGUCUCCGGUCCACCCUGGCACCACAAGCCUCCGGACCCCAGCCUCUCAUUUCAGCUACAGCAGCAGGAUUAUAUCAGCAUUUGCCCAACAAUAACUCAAUUGACUCAUCUGAAACCGAGUUACAAUUAAUUGAACUAUUAUUUUAUAACUCAAGGCUAGAAAGGACUUGAGACCAGACAUGAGCAUCCCGUUUUUGGGAAUGAAGACAGAGCAGUCCACAAGUUUAAAGAAGUGGUUCAGGCCAUGCAUUGAAACUGACCUGAGAAGACUCUACUCACACACCAGUGCACUGACCUGUUCUGGAGGCCUUCUGACAGGAGGUGAAGGUCUGGCUCUGGGUGAGGAGGUGGAGGUCUUGCUCUGGGUGAGGAGGUGGAGGUCUUGCUCUGGGUGAGGAGGUGGAGGUCUUGCUCUGGGUGAGGAGGUGGAGGCAGACACCAUGGUACAAACGACAUGUUACCUUUUUAACCUUGUACAGUUCUAGAGUCUCUUCUACUGUAACAUGUGGGAAUGACGGCCAAUAUUUUAGCUUUGAUAUUAUCCAGUUGGUAAAUCUGCACCAAAGUCUUUGUUUAACGUCAUUCCAUUGGGUAGGGUUUAACUUCUGUGGCAAUUAAUGACAGCAGAUAUUUAGAACGUACAAAAGCUGAAGUAACAAAGAACAGUAAGCAAUAUCGAUAUUAAAUCAAAUUUACUCAGCCAUAUUCAGGUGCUGGGUUCCUUUGAAGAAAUGUCAAAUUGUCUUCCACCUUGUAAUGAUUUUCAGCCUUCACCGAUGUCAAAAAUGGGGCCGCAAGUAGAAAGCCGUUUUGUACGCAGCGAGAGUCCCGUCACCGUGGUUAAAAGUACGGCGCAACCAUCGAAAAUUAUCAACACUGUAUUGUACGACUUACUUGUCAGUAUGUAUUUAAUAUCAAAUUUAAGUUGUUUAAGAUAAGGGGCAACAAUUCCCAAUGGAAACCGACUGAAAAAUAGUUUCCGUUGGCAAUGGCUCGAGGUUACUCAAAUACAAUCCAGAACGUUCAGCCAGAUUCCCUCAGGGGACUCCUGACCAACUAACUGCCAGGUGGUUUCUAAUGGUUGUCAAGACUACAACGUUCUAUGCUAACCAUUGGGACUAAAUCAAGUGACGGCACUCAGAAACUUCCACGGCGGGAAGCACAAACCGUCCGACUGGAAUCCGAACAUUCCGGCCGGAACCAACCAAAGAAAAAACAGAACCAGCUCCUCACCUUGAGCUGAACGGAGGAAGAUCCUGAGGUCCAGCGAUGGUCUUCAUUAAAACACAGCCAACAGACUUACCUUGACGAGAUCUGUUUGUUGCUGUUGGUCAUUACUACCAUUCAGUGUACCUUUACAUUAUUAUGCACCCAGUGUGUACAUGUUAUAUCACUCAAAACCGUACGAAGAACCAAACUACCAUGUACGUCCCACAACAACUUUAAACCUCAGAUCCUUGCCUCAGAACAAUGGAAUCAUUCACUACAAAACAGUGUCACCAUUUUACAAUUAUCUAGAUUAUUCAGGGUACAAACCAUACAGAGCAAAUCCAACCGUUGAACUCACAGAGAGCCGACCAUAGCCCUGCAAUGUCACCUUGACCGCCUCAUCACCAACAGCAAAUCAUGCAAGCCAGCCAACACAUGUACAGGUCCAGUGAGAAGUGGGCAUCUGAGCGAAAGGACUGCUCAUAAUAAAUAGAAGCCCAAUUCCUGAACUAUCCAACCAUCUUCAUGGUUUAAAGAUUUACAGACUUGACAUGCCAUUGUGUUCUAAUCACCUUUGUCUGCUCCCUUGUUACUUAUAAAACUCUACAUCUCCAUCACUAGAAUGUAGCAUCCUACUCAUGGGGGGGGGGGUCUGAGUGAGCAGAGAUGCAUGCUGGGAUACAGUGCCGUCUGAAGUCUUCAGUUCUAUAGACACGCCCCUCAGGAGAAACCAAAUGUGUGAGAAUCUGUCGUGACAUCAAUUACAUGAGCUGGAAUAUCCUUCAAGAUGGCGCCAGGAUUCUCAGAGGAGAAAGGCCAAGAGUAAGAUGUGAGGGUUCUUCCUCUCAGCCAGUGGAACACAACAACGGUCCUCAUCAGAGUACCAUGGAACACUUCGAAACAUUCUCCUUUUUACAGCUUGAAGCCCCAGUGAAGGUUUCCUGACCUCAGCUGAAGAGCACAACUUCAGCUCGAAGAGCGCACGAGCUGGAGUUCCCGGACUGGUUCUGAUUUAAGGGAACCAAUCGUUCAGCUUGUCCUGUCCGAAACAAAUACAGUUCAGCCUGAGAAGACGUGCAACUGAGAACAAGACAAAAUCCACAAGGCUCUCCAUCAAUCCAGCAAGGUAGGAAGAGCCGUCUCAUUACAGGUCUGAAGGUUAUCUUGAAUAUCCAUUUAGGUCCCUUUCCAACGUCAGACUCUCCUUGUGGAAUGCCUUUAGGUGUCCAUCCUCCAUUGAUCCUGAUUGGUGCAGUCCUAGUUUCAAGUCACUGAUCUGAACACGCCGCUUGCAUCCUUUUACACUUGAUUUGGAUACUCUCCUUCCUGCCCAGUGUGUUGAAUAUCGCUCCUGGGCGUCGCUCAGGGCUCUUCAGGUCUACUGGAGGCCCUUAAGUAAACGUGUGGCCGGCCAUCAGGUAUGAUUUAUUUGACCAUUCCAAAUCCCAAGCCAAUCACAAAGACCCCCGUAUGAACAUUAUCACUGUCAAAGCAAGCCAGACACACACAUAGAACCCAGGACAGGCACGUAGAACCCCAAGCCAGGUGUGAGUGGGAGACACAUACACAGUAGAACCCUAGCGAUGCUCAAAAAUUAUCCAUCUCAUGUCAAACCCAAACACACACACCACUGAGCCAUAAAAGGCCAAACAAUCAUGCAGGGUAAAAACCUCAUGCCAAAUAACAUUUCAUCACCCCCCCUAGCUCUCCUGCCAGGGCACCCAGAACAGAACAACCAAUGUCUCCAGAGACGAUUACUUAUGUACAACAUUCUUCAGUUGCGUCACACGUUGGUGAUGGAUUAUGCUUGGCGUCUCCAAAAUAUGUCCCAGGUUGAUUCAACGUCUCUGAAGUCACGUCUUUGUAGUCCAGUGGUUUCCUGAAUGAGGGGCCUUCACAGAUGCAAACGGUGCAGCUUUAGUCAGCCUGAGGACAGAAAGGAGGUCAUCUGUUCAGAAGACCACACAGUGGAGGGGGGUGGCUCUUGAGGAGCAGGAUCCAUCUGGGGAUGGCCCAAAAUAAGACCUUCAUGGAAAUGAAACCGUUCCUGAGGAGUCACGAUGCCUGGAGGGGACUGUUGAAUGUGUUCCAUGGUUCUCUGUGUCAGACUGAAGUUGUGUUUUAGUCGUUGAGAUGAGGAGCCCCCUCAUCUCCCCCUGGUGUUUCUCCUUCGGAAUCCCCGAGUCCAUUUUAAAGAACAUUCCAGUCCAUGUAACUGACGUCACGACAGUUUCUCAAACACUUGGUUUCCCCUGAGGGGGCGUGUCUACGGACCUGUAGACUUCAGACAGCUCUGUAUCCCAGUAUGCACCUCCGCUCACUCAGACCACACCCUCAUCAGUAACGCAACACAUGUGAUGAAGAUGCAGAGCUCAGGAGAGUAGAAUGAAAGAAGACUGAAGAUAUCAGAACCCAACCCAUUACUCUAGUUUACAACAACAUCUUAGAGCCUAACCAUUUUAACAAAUCAUUAAAACCAACAUAAACCAAACACCUAAGAAACCCAUGAACCAAUAAAAGAUCCUUACUACUCAGAUCAACCUUCAGGUAACAGGUUAACUCACCAGGCAGCCAAAAUACAUCAAUGUGCCCAAGAGUAAUGAGAAAUUAAUGACUUACAGUUUGCAGUUCAUCUUCAUGGUUAAGUUGGGAUACUCACAGAACUGCAGUUAAAUAUCCAUGAUAGACCUUUGAAGGAAGGAACAGUUUAAUCAUGGUCCAAAUUUCAAAUGAGUUAAACCACCACAAUCCCAGAUUUCCUUCACACAUUAUCAGUGAUUUAUAUUCAACAUACACGUCACAUCAGUUGUGCUUUGCC
ensembl:lncRNA